GAGUUACUCCCUUCGUUCUAAAUUACUUGUCGCAGGUAUGGAUGUAUCUAGAUGUAUUUUAGUUUUAGAUACAUCCAUUUCUGCGACGAGUAAUUUGAAACAGAAGGAGUACAAA
rfam:Triticum aestivum genome assembly, contig: Triticum_aestivum_CS42_TGACv1_scaffold_559612_7AL